rnacentral:rRNA from 1 species
UACGUAGGGCGCAAGCGUUAUCCGGAAUUAUUGGGCGUAAAGGGCUCGUAGGCGGUCUGUCACGUCAGGAGUGAAAACUCGGGGCUCAACCCCGAGCCUGCUUCUGAUACGGGCAGACUGGAGGUAUGCAGGGGAGAACGGAAUUCCUGGUGUAGCGGUGAAAUGCGCAGAUAUCAGGAGGAACACCGGUGGCGAAGGCGGUUCUCUGGGCAUUACCUGACGCUGAGGAGCGAAAGUGUGGGGAGCGAACAGG